UUCCGGUUGAUCCCGCCGGACCUGACUGCUAUCGGAUUGAUACUAAGCCAUGCGAGUCAUUGUAGCAAUACAAGGCAGACGGCUCAGUAACGCGUAGUCAACCUACCCUAUGGACGGGAAUAACCUCGGGAAACUGAGAAUAAUGCCCGAUAGAACAUUAUGCCUGGAAGGGUUUAUGUUCCAAAUGAUUUAUCGCCGUAGGAUGGGACUGCGGCCUAUCAGUUUGUUGGUGAGGUAAUGGCCCACCAAGACUAUUACAGGUACGGGCUCUGAGAGGAGUGGCCCGGAGAUGGGUACUGAGACACGGACCCAGGCCCUAUGGGGCGCAGCAGGCGAGAAAACUUUGCAAUGUGCGAAAGCACGACAAGGUUAAUCCGAGUGGUUUCUGCUAAAGGAACCUUUUGUUAGUCCUAGAAACACUAACGAAUAAGGGGUGGGCAAGUUCUGGUGUCAGCCGCCGCGGUAAAACCAGCACCUC
rnacentral:rRNA from 1 species